CCUACGGGAGGCAGCAGUGGGGAAUCUUGGACAAUGGGCGCAAGCCUGAUCCAGCCAUGCCGCGUGAGUGAUGAAGGCCUUAGGGUCGUAAAGCUCUUUCGCCAGAGAUGAUAAUGACAGUAUCUGGUAAAGAAACCCCGGCUAACUCCGUGCCAGCAGCCGCGGUAAUACGGAGGGGGUUAGCGUUGUUCGGAAUUACUGGGCGUAAAGCGCGCGUAGGCGGAUUGGAAAGUUAGAGGUGAAAUCCCAGGGCUCAACCCUGGAACUGCCUUUGAUACUGGUUGACUUGAGUUAUACGGAAGUAGAUAGAAUAAGUAGUGUAGCGGUGAAAUGCAUAGAUAUUACAUAGAACACCAAUUGCGAAGGCAGCUUACUAAGAUGUUAUUGACGCUGAUGGACGAAAGCGUGGGUAGCGAACGGGAUUAGAUACCCCGGUAGUCCACGCCGUAAACGAUGUUAACUCGGUGCUUGCUUCGUAGAAGUGAGUGCCCAAGCGAAAGUAUUAAGUUAACCACCUGGGGAGUACGCUCGCAAGAGUGAAACUCAAGGAAUUGACGGGG
rnacentral:rRNA from 1 species